rnacentral:rRNA from 1 species
UAGGGAAUCUUCGGCAAUGGACGAAAGUCUGACCGAGCAACGCCGCGUGAGUGAAGAAUGUUUUCGGAUCGUAAAACUCUGUUGUUAGAGAAGAACAAGGACGUUAGUAACUGAACGUCCCCUGACGGUAUCUAACCAGAAAGCCACGGCUAACUACGUGCCAGCAGCCGCGGUAAUACGUAGGUGGCAAGCGUUGUCCGGAUUUAUCGGUCGUAAAGCGAGCGCAGGCGGUUUCUUAAGUCUGAUGUGAAAGCCCCCGGCUCAAACGAAGAAGGUCAUUGGAAACUGGGGGACUUGAGUGCAGAAGAGGAGAGUGGAAUUGCAUGUGUAGCGGAGAAAUGGGUAGAUAUAUGGAGGAAAACCAGUGGCGAAGGCGGCUCUAUGGACUGUAACGGACGCAGAGGCUCGAAAGGGUGGCGAGCAAACAGG